rnacentral:rRNA from 1 species
UACGUAGGGUGCAAGCGUUAAUCGGAAUUACUGGGCGUAAAGCGUGCGCAGGCGGUUGUGCAAGACCGAUGUGAAAUCCCCGGGCUUAACCUGGGAAUGGCAUUGGUGACUGCACGGCUAGAGUGUGUCAGAGGGGGGUAGAAUUCUACGUGUAGCAGUGAAAUGCGUAGAGAUGUGGAGGAAUACCGAUGGCGAAGGCAGCCCCCUGGGAUAACACUGACGCUCAUGCACGAAAGCGUGGGGAUCAAACAGG